GGGCGCGCUCCAGUGAGACCCUCCCUUAAGUGUAAGGACUAAGAUCUAAUCUAGUCCAUUAAAUAAUCCCAUCCAACCGUCCAGAUUAAAUGGAAUUAAUGCGUCCGGCUUUUUUUGUUUUCAUUAUUUUUUAUGCGUUCACACUGGAAGGAGGGCUAUUUAGUAAAUUUAGCCGCAUCAUAAAACACGUCUCCAACAAUCCCCUCAAUUCUCUUUAAUUGUGUCCUCUCCAAAUCCCUCAUUCCUCGGAAUUCAUUAAUUGCUCAUAUUAACUGCAUUGCCUCUAUACACCGGCUCCGAAAAUCGAAUCUUUUUUCUUCUUUUUUGGUUUGUCAAAGCUGAUCUAGGAUUUAGAAGAGAACCUAGAGUUACUGCAAAAUCAUUGAAAACUAGUGAACAAGCAACGAAAGUGUUUCGCAGACGAAGAAACUCGCAGGAUUCUCUAGGUGGAGAUGAGAUUAAACAUGGGGACGAACCCAGUUGUUUUGUUGGGAAUUACUAGGAUCAUGUUCCAGAGGAUGUGGAGGUUACUAAGGACAAAGAUAGUGGAGCUGUGGAGAAGAAAAAAACUUGAACGACAAAUCCGAGGACGAAGAGAGUUUAGAUGAUGAUUUUGUUACCGUGCAUCCAAGAGUUCAAAUUGCGACGGUGCAAGCGAAGAGAGGAGCACCUGCUGCUGUGUGUACCAGUACGGCAAGUUCUGCUUUGGCUUGGGCUGCUGACCCUUGGAGUUCGCCACCUGCUGCGAUGACGAUGAGAGCUGCUGCCCACACGACUACCCCAUCUGCGAUGUUGAUGCACAAACUUGCCUAAUGAGCAAGGACAAUCCGUUGGGGAUACCGGUCUUCAAACGAGGCGCUUCAAAGCCCAACUGGUCGACCUGUAGGUUUGGGAGGAAGAUGAGCAGCAACAGUGCUUGAGAUUGUUGCAAGGGAAGGGAACUGAAGUUAUUGUUUUGAGGAGUGGAGAUGUGAACCAUUUUCGUUUUCAGUAUAUAAUUCUUUCGUUUUUGCUUAUUCCUUAAGCAAUUUGAUGUAUUCAUUAAGCUUCACUUCACUGUUGUUGUGUUGUUCAUUAAUCGCAAUUCAUAACUGUAAUCACAUGCAUAAAUACAUUAAUAUAUAAAUUUAUUUAUAUUCACUAA